AACGAACGCUGGCGGCGUGCCUAACACAUGCAAGUCGAACGUGAUUGAAGAGCUUGCUCUUCAUGAAAGUGGCGCACGGGUGAGUAACGCGUAGAUAAUCUACCUGGUGAUUUGGGAUAACAGUUCGAAAGGACUGCUAAUAACGAAUAAGCCCACGGAGUCUUUGGAUUCUGCGGGAAAAGGGGGGGACCUUAAGGCCUUCCGUCACCAGUUGAAUCUGCGUACCAUUAGCUAGUUGGUAGGGUAAAGGCCUACCAAGGCGACGAUGGUUAGCUGGUCUGAGAGGAUGAUCAGCCACACUGGAACUGAGACACGGUCCAGACUCCUACGGGAGGCAGCAGUAGGGAAUUUUGCGCAAUGGGGGAAACCCUGACGCAGCAACGCCGCGUGAGUGAUGAAGGCCCUUGGGUCGUAAAGCUCUGGCAGAGGGAAAGAAAUGCAGGGGAGCUAAUAUCUCCUUUGCUUGACGGUACCCUCAAAGGAAGCACCGGCUAACUCCGUGCCAGCCGCCGCAGUAACAC
rnacentral:rRNA from 1 species